GAUGAACGCUGGCGGCGUGCCUAAUACAUGCAAGUCGAGCGAACAGACGAGGAGCUUGCUCCUCUGACGUUAGCGGCGGACGGGUGAGUAACACGUGGAUAACCUACCUAUAAGACUGGGAUAACUUCGGGAAACCGGAGCUAAUACCGGAUAAUAUAUUGAACCGCAUGGUUCAAUAGUGAAAGACGGUUUUGCUGUCACUUAUAGAUGGAUCCGCGCCGCAUUAGCUAGUUGGUAAGGUAACGGCUUACCAAGGCAACGAUGCGUAGCCGACCUGAGAGGGUGAUCGGCCACACUGGAACUGAGACACGGUCCAGACUCCUACGGGAGGCAGCAGUAGGGAAUCUUCCGCGAUGGGCGAAAGCCUGACGGAGCAACGCCGCGUGAGUGAUGAAGGUCUUCGGAUCGUAAAACGCUGUUAUUAGGGAAGAACAAAUGUGUAAGUAACUAUGCACGUCUUGACGGUACCUAAUCAGAAAGCCACGGCUAACUACGUG
rnacentral:rRNA from 1 species